rnacentral:snoRNA from 1 species
UGCAAAUGAUGUUAAAUUUUUGCUAAAUACAAUUGAUGACAACCACCAAGAUCGCUGAUGCA